UUUCUGUGCCGGGAGGGACAGAGUGGACGCCAGGACAGCCAGCUCCGGGAGCAGCGUGUGGGAAGGACAGCUGCAAAGCCUGGUGCUGUCUGAAUAUGCGUCCACUGAGAUGAGCCUUCAUGCCCUCUAUAUGCACCAGCUCCACAAGCAGCAGACCCAGGCUGAGCCCGAGCGGCAUGUGUGGCACCGCCGGGAGAGUGAUGAGAGUGGAGAGAGUGCCCCUGAAGAGGGGGGAGAGGGUG
rnacentral:lncRNA from 1 species